UCCCUGAUAGCUCAGUUGGUUAAGAAUCCGCCUGCAAUGCGGGAGACCUGGGUUCGAUUCCUGGGUUGGGAA
rnacentral:tRNA from 1 species